rnacentral:rRNA from 1 species
CCUACGGGAGGCAGCAGUGGGGAAUAUUGCACAAUGGGGGAAACCCUGAUGCAGCGACGCCGCGUGAGUGAUGAAGUACUUCGGUAUGUAAAGCUCUAUCAGCAGGGAAGAAAAUGACGGUACCUGAGUAAGAAGCCCCGGCUAACUACGUGCCAGCAUCCGCGGUAAUACGGGGGGGGCAAGCGUUAUCCGGAUGUACUGGGUGUAAAGGGAGCGUAGACGGCAGUGCAAGUCUGGUGUGAAAGGGGGGGGCUCAACCCCCGGACUGCCCUGGAAACUGUAGGGCUGGAGUGCAGGAGAGGGAAGUGGAAUGCGUAGUGUAGCGGUGAAAUGCGUAGAUAGUAGGAGGAACACCAGUGGCGAAGGCGGCUUACGGGACUGUAACUGACGUUGAGGCUCGAAAGCGUGGGGAGCAAACAGGAUUAGAUACCCGAGUAGUC